GACCAGCAACGGCGGCGCUGCACUGACCUCAGCGCGUAGCGCCUGACGUCACCACGCCACAAGCCACGCCUCACGCAAAACACACGACCUAGAAUACAAGGUUGGCUUACCUCACAGCCACGCCCCUUUGAGAAGUAAAAAAAGAGAGCGAGUGUGUGCGACCAAAGGAGAAGGGGUGGGCAAGUUGAGUGUCUGUAGUUUCAGGGGCGAUAGAACGGACGGGGGAGGGAGUUCUUCCUCCAAAAGUGCUAUUUGCCCUUUUGGGAGUCCAGGAGUUGCUGUUGCCACAAAGCAGCGGCUCAUCCAACACUAGAAAACAAAACAUUCCAGGUUCCAAAACACGUGGUGUCAUAGCAGCCCUAGUCGCACGUGUUGUCAUUCAUCGUCCCUGAUUUUUGCUACGACGCAGCGCAUGUUCUGCCUCAUGCAUGCUGCCCUCAGCACCAAAUUUAUUGCUGCCAAGAAUGAUAUACUGGCCCGCGAAAGUAUAUAUUAAAAAAACAACUUCUGAGUCGGGGCGCAACGCGUGUAAGUCCCGGGCCUGCAGAGGAAGAUGAAUCAUAUCGCUUGGAGCCGUGUACAACCCGAGCACGUUCCUCCGGCUGCUGAUGAUCACUUAUAACGGAACUGUUCAGGGCUGCGCCGUGCUCUGUGGCAUUUCCCUUUCCCCAACAGUGUGCUUUUUAGGACUUGGAAAGAUCCAAGCCGUUUCAAAAGGGAAACAUGCCGAUCAGUUCCAGCCCCUGCAUGAUCGCUAGAUAAGGGGUGGAGAAAGGAGGCGAUGACCCAUUUUUUGCAUCAGUUGGCCCACCACCGGCCUUCUGGUAGCUAGUCCGCAAAGGGAGAACGCUUCUCGCUCCUUGAGCAGCCCGCAGCAGACUCCACUGCAGAAAAGAAAGUCAUGCACGUGAUACGGUCUGCCUUUGCUCUCGCAGCUCAAUCGCUUGGUAUUCUUUCCGCAGCACGUAACUCGAGCAGCGGCCACGCGAGCGGCGGCGGUGGUGGAGAGAGCCUUUGUUGAUCGCCUACGGACCAGAGGGCUUUGACAUAAAAGCCCAGCUCGGAUCAACAGCACCAACGCCGUCACUGAUGUGCCGCCGUGUGAAGGCGGAAGACGCACAGCAGAAAAACCUCAUCCCUCUUUGAUCCUUGUUGACAUUUCAGACCAAGCCUGCUUGAGGCUCCGGUGACUGCUGCAAAAAGGGACUGUGGCAACUAAGCAUCCUCGAUAAUCUCUCCUGAUUCAAACUAAGAAGGGAGACUUCUUGGAAAACGGAAUGGUGGCGGUAAGAGGAAGUCUCCGCGCUGCUUCUGGAUGGAAUUUCUUUUUCUGUGCUUAACAUUUAAUUUGAUCUAUAUCCCUGCAUCCCUUGAGCUCAAAGAGGUUUGCUGUGUUUUUCAGAGUCCUCCCCCCCCUCCUAUGGUAAUACUCGCGUCCCUAAAAGGUUCACAGUCCGCAAAAGUAAUCGUUUGGGGGAUAAGAGGCCAGAGGAAUAAGUUACAUUAAAAGGCCUUUGUAAACAUACAACCCAUUUUAAGGGGAGAAUAAGAAGAAAAGGGUUCAGUCCAAAAUGUGAUGAUACUGGUGUCUUUGGAGCUCUAUCCAAGAGGGCGGAAAAUGUUAACUUAAGAGAUCACAGGAUUGCUCCUUCAGACUGGGGAUCUCCCUGCCCGGGGGUACCACGGGAGUACUUCCCUCAGGACCUGCUUUUGUAGACAACCCACAGCUGCCUUUUUAGAGCAGGAGGCUUCUGGUGCUCUUUUUACCUCCUCCUCCUGCUGCCGCCUUGCAUUUGGGUUCUUUUUCUUUUAUGACUAAUAGUUUUACUUGUUUUACCUUUGAUCCUGUAUGAACUGAUAUAAGCCACCUUAGUGCCAUAGACAAAAAGCAGCCUAGACAUGCAGUGAAUAAAUAGAUGCUACUACUCCAUA